GAUGAACGCUGGCGGCGUGCCUAAUACAUGCAAGUCGAGCGAACAGACGAGGAGCUUGCUCCUCUGACGUUAGCGGCGGACGGGUGAGUAACACGUGGAUAACCUACCUAUAAGACUGGGAUAACUUCGGGAAACCGGAGCUAAUACCGGAUAAUAUAUUGAACCGCAUGGUUCAAUAGUGAAAGACGGUUUUGCUGUCACUUAUAGAUGGAUCCGCGCCGCAUUAGCUAGUUGGUAAGGUAACGGCUUACCAAGGCAACGAUGCGUAGCCGACCUGAGAGGGUGAUCGGCCACACUGGAACUGGGACACGGUCCAGACUCCUACGGGAGGCAGCAGUAGGGAAGUGUACGCAAGGGGCGAAAGCCUGACGGAGCAACGCCGCGUGAGUGAUGAAGGUCUUCGGAUCGUAAAACUCUGUUAUUAGGGAAGAACAAAUGUGUAAGUAACUAUGCACGUCUUGACGGUACCUAAUCAGAAAGCCACGGCUAACUACGUG
rnacentral:rRNA from 1 species